rnacentral:rRNA from 1 species
AACGGCCCACCGAGGCGACGAUGCGUAGGGGUUCUGAGAGGAAGGUCCCCCACACUGGUACUGAGACACGGACCAGACUCCUACGGGAGGCAGCAGUGAGGAAUAUUGGUCAAUGGGCGGGAGCCUGAACCAGCCAAGUCGCGUGAGGGAAGACGGUCCUAUGGAUUGUAAACCUCUUUUGCCGGGGAGCAACGGGGUCCUUGCGAGGGCCUAAUGAGAGUACCCGGAGAAAAAGCAUCGGCUAACUCCGUGCCAGCAGCCGCGGUAAUACGGAGGAUGCGAGCGUUAUCCGGAUUUAUUGGGUUUAAAGGGUGCGUAGGCGGGCUGUUAAGUCAGCGGUCAAAUGUCGGGGCUCAACCCCGGCCUGCCGUUGAAACUGGUGGCCUCGAGUGGGCGAGAAGUAUGCGGAAUGCGUGGUGUAGCGGUGAAAUGCAUAGAUAUCACGCAGAACUCCGAUUGCGAAGGCAGCAUACCGGCGCCCGACUGACGCUGAGGCACGAAAGCGUGGGUAUCGAACAGGAUUAGAUACCCUGGUAGUCCACGCAGUAAACGAUGAAUGCUAGCUGUCCGGGGCUUCGGUCCUGG